ACAAGGAGCCAUAUCACCCUGCAAAUCAGAACUGACAACCCACCAAAACUAAGCAGGUGUGAGCCUGUUCAGUACCUGGAUGGGAGACCUCCGUGGAAAAAAGGUUUCUGCUGGCA
rnacentral:rRNA from 1 species